rnacentral:rRNA from 1 species
GACGAACGCUGGCGGCGUGCUUAACACAUGCAAGUCGAACGGAAAGGCCCUGCUUUUGUGGGGUGCUCGAGUGGCGAACGGGUGCGUAACACGUGAGUAACCUGCCCUUGACUUUGGGAUAACUUCAGGAAACUGGGGCUAAUACCGGAUAGGAGCUCCUGCUGCAUGGUGGGGGGUGGAAAGUUUCGGCGGUUGGGGAUGGACUCGCGGCUUAUCAGCUUGUUGGUGGGGUAGUGGCUUACCAAGGCUUUGACGGGUAGCCGGCCUGGGAGGGUGGCCGGCCACCUGGGGCCUGCGGUACGGCCCAGACUCCUACGUGAGGCAGCAGGCGGGAAUAUUGCCCAAUGGGCGGAAGCCUGAUGCAGCAACGCCGCGGUCGUGAUGACGGCCUUCGGGUUGUAAACCGCUUUCGCCUGUGACGAAGCGUGAGUGACGGUAAUGGGUAAAGAAGCACCGGCUAGCUACGUG